GGAGAGGUCGCAUAGUGGCUGAGUGCGCACGCUUGGAAAGCGUGUAGUCCCUAAUGGGGGCUCGGGGGUUCGAAUCCCCUCCUCUCCU
rfam:Streptococcus agalactiae 2603V/R, complete genome.